GACUGCCCUAUGGGUUGUAAACCUCUUUUAUAAGGGAAGAAUAAGUUUUACGUGUAGAAUGAUGCCUGUACCUUAUGAAUAAGCAUCGGCUAACUCCGUGCCAGCAGCCGCGGUAAUACGGAGGAUGCGAGCGUUAUCCGGAUUUAUUGGGUUUAAAGGGUGCGUAGGCGGUUUAUUAAGUUAGUGGUUAAAUAUUUGAGCUAAACUCAAUUGUGCCAUUAAUACUGGUAAACUGGAGUACAGACGAGGUAGGCGGAAUAAGUUAAGUAGCGGUGAAAUGCAUAGAUAUAACUUAGAACUCCGAUAGCGAAGGCAGCUUACCAGACUGUAACUGACGCUGAUGCACGAGAGCGUGGGUAGCGAACAGGAUUAGAUACCCUGGUAGUCCACGCCGUAAACGAUGCUCACUGGUUCUGUGCGAUAUAUUGUACGGGAUUAAGCGAAAGUAUUAAGUGAGCCACCUGGGGAGUACGUCGGCAACGAUGAAACUCAAAGGAAUUGACGGGGGCCCGCACAAGCGGAGGAACAUGUGGUUUAAUUCGAUGAUACGCGAGGAACCUUACCUGGGUUUAAAUGGGAAAUGCCGUAUUUGGAAACAGAUAUUCUCUUCGGAGCGUUUUUCAAGGUGCUGCAUGGUUGUCGUCAGCUCGUGCCGUGAGGUGUCGGGUUAAGUCCCAUAACGAGCGCAACCCUUACCGUUAGUUGCUAGCAUGUAAUGAUGAGCACUCUAACGGGACUGCCACCGUAAGGUGAGAGGAAGGCGGGGAUGACGUCAAAUCAG
rnacentral:rRNA from 1 species